AAAAAAAAAAAAAAAAAAACAUAGGAAGCACUAGCUUUUUCAUAGCUUUCUGCUUUUGCCUUUUCGUGACAUUAAUCUCAAAGCUUGAAAUUCUGAUGUUGGCAUCACCUACUAUCUCUUUUCUGUUGUUACCUUUUUCCAGUGAGUUCGGGCAUUCCUGUCCAUGGGAUUUGAGAAUUAAAACCCUGGGUUCUUGCCCUUCACAUUUGCAACAAGCUGAACCCUAUAUGUCGCUCAAUCAAAAUUGAUUUCCUGGUCACCAUUUUUAAUUUUCUUGAUAAAACUACCAUAUCAUAUAUAUGGUCUCUGGAUUCCUCAACUCUUCUCAAGAAACAAUAAACCUUUCCUGAAAAGUUUCAUUAGAGAAUUGCUGUCUUUUAUUGUUAGCCUGUUCUUUACACUACAGCUGGAUAUAUGCAAUAAGUGUUUGUUUCAAAAUGGCUUUUAUGGACCAAAUCAAAUGGUACCAAUAUCACUCAAGUGUCUUCAGAAUUGAAAACCCCAGUUUACUAGGCCACUAUUUCCUCAAAUGUUGCAUGUUCCAUAUGUUAGGGUAAUUGUAUCCUGAAACUUCAGCAUGUAACUAAUACUCUAUUGACUGAGAGCUCCCUCUCUAUACAAAAGAGGAUCUCUAGGGUACCAAUUGUCAUGCCAAAAAUAUCAUCUGCCCAUUUGCAAACAAUAUGCUGCAAACAUGCCCUCGUAGUGUCUCUCAAACCCCUAAUUAGCAUCUGAUCCCAAUGGCUAUUGGUUGAAACAGAGAUAAUCCAAAAGUUUUUAUUGCUAAGGAGGUAUAGAUCAAUCCAGCGCACCUGGAAUGGAUCUCAAUCAUUUACAAUUUGAGUAUUUUCUUCUAAAAUUUUUUUCUUUUGAUUCUUAUAUGAUAUAAUUUUAACUGUCUUAUUCUAUUAAAUGGUCUCUUAAAUUGAAGAAAUCUAGUGUAUAGUCAAGUAUCUAUUCAUUCUUCACAGGGGAAAACCAAACUAUUGAAUGGG
rnacentral:misc_RNA from 1 species